GCCAAUCGCAGCUGCAGAGCAAGGAAGUGUGGCGCAGUUCAAAGUUAGUCUUUCCAAUUACUGGUGGCAGAAAGCAGAUGAGUUGUCACCAUUAAUAUUUAAGGCUCAAUUUUUAGCUACUUCUUUUUAUAUCAAUGGUUUCUAAUUUCCCUGACGUGUGGACGCUGUUGUCAGAUGCUCGCCGCCGGUAUGGUGAGCUGUUCGCGGAAGAACCUCCCCAAGCGGCGGCAUGUGCUCCGGGCAGAGUCAACCUGAUCGGGGAGCACACUGACUAUAACCAGGGAUUUGUUCUUCCAAUGGCGCUUCCCUUUGUGACCGUGGUGGUUGGAGGUCCAACCUCUGGCCAGGAAGUUACCGUGAUAACCACAGCGGAGGACGCUGAUGAACCCCGGAGAGUUGACUUCACCUUGACAGGCGAUGGAUGCUCUCUGCCGCCAGGGUUACCUCGCUGGGCAAACUAUGUGAAGGGUGUCAUACAGCACUACAGGGCUCCUGGUCUCCCAAAUUUCAGAGCAGUGGUAGCUAGCAGUGUCCCGCUGGGUGGAGGACUCUCUAGCUCUGCCUCUCUGGAGGUGGCCUUCUACACCUUCCUGCAGCAGCUCAAGCCAGAUGAUGGAGAGAAACUGGAAAAAGUGCUGGCAUGUCAGCAGGCUGAGCACACCCAUGCUGGUGUACCAUGUGGUAUUAUGGACCAAUUUGUGUCUGUUUUUGCCAGGGAGGGACAGGCUUUACUCAUUGACUGCAGGUCUCUAGAAGCCACCUCAGUCCCUCUGGCAGAUCCAGGCUUGGUCAUCCUCAUUACCAACUCUAACGUAAAGCACUCACUGACUGGCAGUGAGUACCCAACAAGACGCAGACAUUGUGAACAGGCUGCCUCUGCACUGGGAAAAGACAGUCUGAGAAAUGUUACAAUAAAAGAACUAGAAGAGGCCAAGGAGAAGCUGGAUGAUGUAACUUAUCGAAGAGCUCGUCAUGUUAUUGAGGAAAUACAGAGGACUGUCCAAGCUGCUGAAGCCCUAAAGAAAGGGUCCUACAAGGAAUUUGGCCAGCUCAUGGUGGAAAGCCACAAUUCCCUGAGGGACCUGUAUGAGGUGAGCUGCAAAGAACUGGAUGAACUGGUUUCUGCCGCCAUGGAGGUAGAGGGGGUCUUCGGCAGUAGAAUGACUGGUGGAGGGUUCGGGGGAUGCACCGUGACUUUGCUACAGGCACAUGCCAUUGACAUGGCCAUACUACACAUCCAGAAAAGGGGGUCACAACAAAAUGGCGGAUUGAGCGGCUGUGUUUUCUAGAGCUUGCAGUUUAAGUCCAAAAUUUUACUCUUCUUUUAAGUUAACCUUCCACUAAAAUCCCAGGAAGCAUAGUGUUGAGUCUAAAAACAAAAAAGCAACUUCUAAGACAAACUACAGCUGUGCCAUGGACAUCUCCACUCAAAAUAAAAGGGAAUGGGGCAACUUUGCACCCUCAACGUCAAGCAAGAGAAAGGUCGGUUGAAGAGGAAGAAGCGGAGGAAUACAGAGCUAAAACAGCCUCAUAAUUCACAAAUGCACAGGACAAGAUCCACAAAUGCACAAGUCGAGAUCCACGCUUUUAUCCAAUGCCUUUUAUUUUUGCUACAUCUUUUAUCACUUAAAAUAAGCUCACAAACUAUUGCUAUUGCUUCUACGUUGUCAGCCCUGUUUGUUUACUCUAUAUUCACGUGUGAUAUAGUAGGUUUUUACUGUAUUUUCUGGAAUCUGAAGGUCGGUCAGAGAAAUCAUUUUGUGUGAGGUGUGUUGCUCUUGCCGUGUGGCUCAACACCAUAUAUCCCACGAUCGAACAUGAAUUUUUGCCUGGUGAGU